rnacentral:rRNA from 1 species
UACGGGGGGGGUAAGCGUUGUUCGGAAUUACUGGGCGUAAAGGGCUCGUAGGCGGCCAACUAAGUCAGACGUGAAAUCCCUCAGCUUAACCGGGGAACUGCGUCUGAUACUGGAUGGCUUGAGUGUGGGAGAGGAAUGCGGAAUUCCAGGUGUAGCGGUGAAAUGCGUAGAUAUCUGGAGGAACACCGGUGGCGAAGGCGGCAUUCUGGACCAUUACUGACGCUGAGGAGCGAAAGCCAGGGGAGCAAAGCGGG